UACGUAGGGCGCAAGCGUUGUCCGGAAUUAUUGGGCGUAAAGAGCUCGUAGGCGGCCUGUCGCGUCUGCUGUGAAAUCCCGGGGCUUAACCCCGGGCGUGCAGUGGAUACGGGCUGGCUGGAGGCAGGCAGGGGAGAAUGGAAUUCCCGGUGUAGCGGUGAAAUGCGCAGAUAUCGGGAGGAACACCGGUGGCGAAGGCGGUUCUCUGGGCCUGUUCUGACGCUGAGGAGCGAAAGCGUGGGGAGCGAAACAGG
rnacentral:rRNA from 1 species